GCUCCAGUGGCCUAGUGGUUAGAGCGCCCGACUCGAAUGCGGGAGGUUGUGGGUUCCACCCCCGGCCGAGUCA